AUUGCAGAUUCCCCUAGUUUCCCAAGAGAUCCCCUCUUAGAACUUUCUUAGAAUUCAUCUCUUGCAAGUGCCCAAUUGAUGAUCAUGUGAAAAAUCAUCCCCUGAAUGCUUUCGAACAGGGAGCUCUUAUACUAAAAAAUCCUAGCAUUUCUCUCUUUGCACACUCCCCGAAGGAUCUCAGAUAUGCAUUCUUCCAAACUUUUUUUUUUGUAGUCUGUGAAUUGCCCCUCUAGCCAUUCUGCCAUGAGCCUAUUGAGUAAUUGAAUAUCCAGGCAAUUCCAAAUCAGGAGAAAAAGAAGGCCUGCACCUCCCCAGCCAAUGAGCACUGAAAGAAUAGAUGAUCAGUCAAUUCUUUUCAUCAGAUUUACACAUUUUGCAUCUAUUUGGAAGUUCCAUGUUCUGCUUCUUCAGAUUAUCUCAAUUCUGAUGCUGUAACUACAGGUGUGAAUGAAUGAAUAAUGACAUAGCUUCCUGUGGUUUGUACAUUGAUUUUGGGAUUGAACCGCCACUUCAUGGGCAAACACUUUGAACAUUAAAACUGAUUUACAUUUGAUUUCACACCAAUGCGGAACUGUUCUGUCAACUGCUACUCACUAAUUGUCAACUCCAACUCAUUACAUCUUUAUUAUUGUAAUUAUUAUUAUUUCAGAGAUACUGGCACUGCAAAUUAGAGAUGGAAUCAAGUAAAAAACCAGUAAUGUUUUACAGACUACGACAACUCAGACCAAAAUGCUUCAACAUUAUUAAGAGAUGCACCGGCAAAUGGCCUAAGAGUUAAUGCCCUAGAAGCCCCACCUAACUUGGUCUUCCUGAACACCUUAGCAGUACUACAUAACCAACUAGAAAAGCAUCUAACAUUGUGCUCCACUCAAAUCGACGACAAACCUACGAGGAGUGUGAGAUUCCACAAAAUUCCCCCUCUAGAACCAGCUCCUCCUCCAUGCCACACCAAGAAGGAUCCAAUUGACUUGGGCAUCACCCAACAUCAAUGGAACAACUCAAAAAAAAACUCCCACAAACUGCCCUAGCAAAUUGGCAGUGCAUGCUAAGUAUCCCAAAGGCAUAAAUUGCAUUCAUUUGUGAUCAUCAUCUGCCAUUUCCAGAGGUUGUUGAUGGUAAGCACUUUCCCUUUGCCCACUAACCAACCGAAGACAAUAAUCUGAAGACCAAAGUAUGACCAGAUGAAUUCUGUCACUUCAUGAGAUUCCCUCUACGUAGGGGGCAAACCAACAAAUAGAAAGAUCUAACUGAGAAUCUGCCUGAAUUUCCGGUCUCCUACCCAACUAUCCGUAUUAGACAUGAGAGGAAUUGGGCUGCAGAAGGUUCAACAAUCCCAUCAUCUCCAACUCUGUCAUCCAAAUUUUUGACAAGAGGGACUCGACCACAUGGGCCCCAACACUUCAAAGCACUGGGAAACUAGCACCUUCUUGUCUGCCAUGACCGAGGCAAGCCUGGGUAAGACAAAAUUUAGUGCCUGUCAGCGCACCAAGUAUCCUCCCAGAGGCGAGUGAGUGUUUUGUUGCCCUCCAUAUGUGAGAUUUCCUUUUUAAACAGCUCUGCAAUUCUCAAGAUUGCCUUCCAGCUGUGCCACCCUCUGUAGAUCAAUGAGGUUUUAGUGAACCAACCCAGAACAUCUUCUUGAAGUGUUAUUGAAUAAAAGGAAUAAUGAAAGAACACAUAAAGUGCCUCUGGAACAGUCGAUAGGACAUUUAGGUUCGGAUUUCAUAGGAAGCUUGUGGGUCAGAACUUCAUCCGGUGAUCAUACAUUUCAAAAAAAAAAAAAAAAAGAGUUGCUGAGCUCCGAGUGACUUGGCCCAUUUUUGUGACUGGCUCCACACCAGUCUGGUCCAGGUUUUAAGACGCCACUUUACACUGUCUCAAGAGGUCCCAAUAAUCAUCUUUAUAGCCAUGGAGUGAGCUGGUGAUGGAGUACUUUAUUAUUCUUUACCAACAAUUGAUGAGGUUCUAGAUUGAAUGGUAUACUGAUGUCCGCUUUGAUGAGUAGAGUUUGUCAGUGCACUUGACAGCAAAAGGGUAUGUGCCUUAGCUUUUAGGCCUUGUUUCUGCAGUUUUGGCUAUGUUUCAGUUGAAACUGGUAACGGCCUUUUCAUCCUGGAGAAUGCAUUGUGCCACAGUAUUAGUAGGAACAUUUUGAUUGAGCAUUUCUAGACAUUUGAAUUUAUUUUCUUUGGUGAACCAUCUUUUUU